CUGGUUUUAUAUUGCUGUUGUUCUGUAAAUUUUAGGACUUUCUACAGAUUUAUUUCACUGGUCUAAGUGAGAUCCCAAUCGACUGCCACGUACUUCAAGUGUUGCAGUAGGACAUGGAGCGCUUGGAUUCCUCAAGCUCAGACUGCUGACUGUUGACUGCUAUUCAGGUUCUGAAAUAAUCCAUUUAGAUGGCCUGGGACUUUGAUGCCUUCAUGUUCCAUCAGUGCUUUGCUAUCUACCACCUGGGUGACAUCACAGUUGGGAAUGAUUGAUGUUUUUGGAUUCUGGUGUUCCUCUUGUGCAGUCUCAUUGUGAUGUCUUCUUAAUGUAAGUAUUUGCACUCUCUCCAACUAGUUGCUUCUUCAUUCAUCCUCAUCUGCUACUGCUUAUUGUCAUCUCUGUUCUAAGCCAUUCAUACAUAAUAUGUUUUGGGGUGACACCUUUCACACAUGCUGAUAUAUAUUUGGUCUUGUUUCCUACUCCUUUGGUAACAGGUUUUGAA